CACGUAGGGGGCAAGCGUUGUCCGGAUUUAUUGGGCGUAAAGAGCUCGUAGGCGGCUCAGUAAGUCAGGUGUGAAACCUCCAGGCUCAACCUGGAGACGCCACCUGAUACUGCUGUGGCUAGAGUCCGGUAGGGGAGCGUGGAAUUCCUGGUGUAGCGGUGAAAUGCGCAGAUAUCAGGAGGAACACCAGCGGCGAAGGCGGCGCUCUGGGCCGGAACUGACGCUGAGGCGCGAAAGCUAGGGGAGCAAACGGG
rnacentral:rRNA from 1 species